UACGUAGGGUGCGAGCGUUAAUCGGAAUUACUGGGCGUAAAGCGUGCGCAGGCGGUUUGCUAAGACCGAUGUGAAAUCCCCGGGCUCAACCUGGGAACUGCAUUGGUGACUGGCAGGCUAGAGUAUGGCAGAGGGGGGUAGAAUUCCACGUGUAGCAGUGAAAUGCGUAGAGAUGUGGAGGAAUACCGAUGGCGAAGGCAGCCCCAUGGGCCAAUACUGACGCUCAUGCACGAAAGCGUGGGGAGCAAACAGG
rnacentral:rRNA from 1 species